GACGAACGCUGGCGGCGUGCUUAACACAUGCAAGUCGAACGGUAAGGCCCUUCGGGUACACGAGUGGCGAACGGGUGAGUAACACGUGGGUGAUCUGCCCUGCACUUCGGGAUAAGCCUGGGAAACUGGGUCUAAUACCGGAUAGGACCAUGGACUUCACGGUUUGUGGUGGAAAGCUUUUGCGGUGUGGGAUGGGCCCGCGGCCUAUCAGCUUGUUGGUGGGGUAAUGGCCUACCAAGGCGACGACGGGUAGCCGGCCUGAGAGGGUGUCCGGCCACACUGGGACUGAGAUACGGCCCAGACUCCUACGGGAGGCAGCAGUGGGGAAUAUUGCACAAUGGGCGCAAGCCUGAUGCAGCGACGCCGCGUGAGGGAUGACGGCCUGGUUGUAACUCUUCAAUAGGGACGAAGCGCAAGUGA
rnacentral:rRNA from 1 species